UUCUGGUUUGACUGAUAGGCUGGGACUAU
rnacentral:piRNA from 1 species